rnacentral:rRNA from 1 species
UACGUAGGGGGCAAGCGUUGUCCGGAUUUAUUGGGCGUAAAGAGCGUGUAGGCGGUUUGGUAGGUCCGCUGUGAAAACUCGAGGCUCAACCUCGAGACGCCGGUGGAAACCAUCAGGCUAGAGUCCGGAAGAGGAGAGUGGAAUUCCUGGUGUAGCGGUGGAAUGCGCAGAUAUCAGGAGGAACACCAAUAGCGAAGGCAGCUCGCUGGGACGGUACUGACGCUAAGGUGCGAAAGCGUGGGGAGCGAACAGG